CAGUCGUGCUAGUGAGGAAUCAACUCGGUGGUUUUCUUCCGCGUGUACUUUCUCGCCUGGCAGGUUAGCAUCAAUUUCGAUCAUCAUUAAAUGAUUGGAGGUAAUGUGGCUUCUCUUCGGAGUAGUGUUAUAGACCUUGGUAGAUGUGAUGAUCGGGAUUGAGGAUUGCAGCGAAUGCUAUUUGGCUAGCCCCCUGAUUUCUGAUGGUCACCUCGCCUUCGACAGCUUGCUGACGUGGGUGGGUUCUGGUUGUCUAGAUGUUAGAGUGAUCAUAUA
rnacentral:rRNA from 1 species